CCCACUUUCCCCUCUCCCUCGCUCGCUUCUCCUCCCCAACCCGACGUUGUCGUCGCCAUGGCCAACCUAGCCUGCGUGUUCCUCGUCGUCCUCGCCGGCAAGGAGCUUGUUCAAAAGCUCUGUCUGCCUCUGCUGCUUCCAUUACGAGGUUCGGAUUGAGCCGGUCGCCUUCGCAUCGCGGGGACCGAGCCCAUCUUCAACCUCUAUUUGCCGCCGUGCGACGCGUCGAUCCGCGCGUCUCCGAUAGUCCCCGGCCUCGUCGAGCCUCCAUCAAGCUCCGCUGUGAGUCGCCGUCCGUUUCCCCCUAUCCCCUUGCUUGAUUUGGCCGUCCCUGGCGCCGUUGCCGUAAGGCCGAGCUCCGGCCGCCGUCGGGCUUGCGCGUAGGCAUCGCUCCAGCCAUCUCAAAUGGCCGCCGGAGGCUCCCGUUUGAUCGUCGCCGCCGCCGUUGUGCACCGCCGCCGGCCGUCGUUCGUUUGGUCAACUCCGGUCGCUCUCCAGCUCCGCCUACUGCUGCCGCCCGUUGCUUCCGCGCUCGCCCUGCUGCUUCUUCUCCUAGCGCCGUGGCGUUGCUUGCCCUGCUGCUGCUCUACGUAUUGAUGCUGCUCUGCUCCUUGAUGCCGCUGCUUGCUGAUGCUUUGCUUUUGCUGCAUACUAGAUACUGCCCGUGGCCGCCAUGCACACCCGUGCGUGUGUGCCCAAGAACACCAAUGGUUGGAUUGGGCCAUGGCCGCUGGAGUAACCCCCUGUUUAGACUAGAUGAUAAUUAGUGUUUAGAUUAGUAUACAUACAGAUGACAUGCGGGUCCCCUGAUUAUUAAAAUAAAUAACCAAAAUAAGUUUAGCAUCUGUCUAUGACAGCUGGGUCCUGCUGACACUGUUCACUUUGACCGGUCAACUCUGACUGGGUUGUUGACUGGGUCAACUCUGCUGACUGGACCACUACUGGACCCCAUUGGUCAUACACUCAGUCUAGUGUAGAGCUAGGUGACAAAUGUAUAUUCUGUUUUUUUAUUUUGAAUUAAAAGUAAUUUCAGAAAAUGUUUAGAACUUAGAAAAAUCAUAUGAAAUAAACCAUAGCUCGGCUUAAAAUACUUUGUACAUGAAAGUUGCUCAGAACGACGAGACGAAUCCGAAUACGCGGUCCGUUCAUCUAUCACAUGUCCCUAGCAUAGCAAACGUCAAACAUUUCUCCACUGGUUCAUCUGUCUGACAGACGUCCGGAACCGGGAAAACUUUCUCUGUUGGUUUCCCUCUUCGCCAGUAUCGCCUAACGCUACGUUAGAUCACCUCUAGCACCGCUUAUUGUCUUGUUGUGCAUAUGUUUGCGUGUAUUUACUGUUUCUUCCCCCUCUUCUCUCCGGCAGACCCCGAGGCCGAUGUUGCCGCUGUGAUCGUUUACGUCGACGACGACCCUCCUUGUUUGAGCAGCCAGCCAAGCCCCCCCUUUUGAUCAUCCCGAUAUCGCCCAUUCUAUAUUCUCAUGCUUGCAUUAGAUUUUGCUAUUGUUAUUGUUUGCUCCUAUUCUGGUGCAUAGCUUGGUUUUGUACCGGCUUUCCUACCUGCUUAUCCUAAACUGCUUAGGAUAGGUUGGUUAGUGAUCCAUCAUUGACCCCCAGUACUUGUCGUUGUUGCCCCUGCUUCAUCAUCGACGACUCGAUCAUCGUGAUCGACGACCAGAGCUCGACACCUCACAUCACAUCACGCCCCUUUAGUUGCUCGACUCUGCAGAGCUACUAUCGAGUGCCGAGGGUGAUCCCUCAUAACGCACUCCUGAUGAUAAUUCUGUAGUGUAGCUAUUCGGUCGUGGUCAUCGAGGGUGAUUUCCUCUUUCACCAUUCCCGAUACGGCUCUGUCGUUCAACACCUCAAGUGUGAACCUCGAGGGUGAUCCCUCUUACGUUCACCUUGAUGAUUACAUUGAGUGGAAUCCAUCGGGGGUGAUUCCUCAGGUUUUCCCCUUGAUGUUUGGACACACGGUUACCUUGACUUUACUUGAGACCUUGGUGAAAGUCGGGCGGGCCCGGAGAGCACCCGCAAGAUAAUGACAUGGCACGGUCGGGCAUUCUGAGCCCUUGUCGUAAGUCCACGAGACGGGGCGACGGGGUCACUUUCGAUCGUGAGUCUCUGCUCGUCUCCGCAAGCUAAUAAUACACUAUGGUUUGGGUAUUUGUUCUGAGUUGGCCUCUGGCCUUUACGCACUAACCACCACACAAGAAUAGAUAUGGGCCUCGACGUCAUGGUAUCAGCCGAAGCUUUGUCAGACAUCCAAUUCAGUAGUGUGGCACGGCUGGGCCGGCACCACCAUGUAGAGGUGGAGCCUGGACCCGCCCUGCGCGUAACGACCCGGAGUGCAACGGGCGAUGGGCCCAGACCCCGAAGUGCUUAGGAGGUAGACCGGCGGGGACCUUUCUGUUGAGCCUAGGUCGGGCUGCGACGUGUUGAUCUUCUGAGGGCUGGCAUUGACCCCAGAAAGGUGUGUCCGGCCAGAGUGAUCGAGCGUGUUGGGUAACAUGGUGCACCCCUGCAGGGAAGUUAUAUAUUUGAAUACCGUGUCCACGGUAAUGGACGUUUUCAGACUUAUAUCCUGAUCUUAUACAACUACAAAUGGAUACUUGAAUAUGUGGCUCCAGGAUUGCUUUCUCGCAGGGAGUCGAGGAAGGAUCUCUGGGCAUUAAUGUUACAACAUGUUUGUUAAUUAUAAAGUGAUAUUCUUUACUCUUCUACAUGCCGUAAGAUGCGAGGAGCUGCGUAAAGAUGCUAGUCUUUGAUAGGCUAGGUCUUCCCUCUCUAUUCUGGCAUUCUGCAGUUCAGUCCACAUAUACAACCCUUCCAUUUGAUACCAAUGCAUACUUAGUAUAGAUCUGAUGCUUGCGAGUACUUUGGAUGAGUACUCACGGUUGCUUUGCUACCCCUUUCCCCCCUUCUUUCUUCUUUCCGGUUGAUGCAACCAGAUGGUGGAUCCCUGGAGCCAGAUGCCACCGCCGAUGGAUGCUGCUACGCGAAGACCGCCGACGAUCAGAAGUUCUUAGGAGGUCCCAGGCAGGAGGCCUUGCCUCUUCGAUCGUUGUUGCUUUUGUGCUAGCCUUCUUAAGGCAUCCUUAUUUAACUUAUGUCUGUACUCAGAUAUUGUUGCUUCCGCUGACUUUUGUGUAUCGAGCUUGUAUUCGAGCCCUCGAGGCUCCUGGCUUGUAAUAUGAAGCUUGUAUUAUUUUAUUUGUGUCUAGAGUUGUAUUGUGAUAUCUUCCCGUGAGUCCCUGAUCUUGAUCGUACACAUUUGCGUGUAUGAUUAGUGUACGGUCGAAU
rnacentral:lncRNA from 1 species